UGGGGAAUUUUUGGGACAAUGGGCGAAAGCCUGAUCCAGCAAUGCCGCGUGUGUGAAGAAGGCCUUCGGGUUGUAAACCGCUUUUGUCAGGGAAGAAAUCUUCUGAGUUAAUACCUCGGGAGGAUGACGGUACCUGAAGAAUAAGCACCGGCUAACUACGUGCCAGCAGCCGCGGUAAUACGUAGGGUGCAAGCGUUAAUCGGAAUUACUGGGCGUAAAGCGUGCGCAGGCGGUUUUGUAAGACAGAGGUGAAAUCCCCGGGCUCAACCUGGGGAACUGCCUUUGUGACUGCAAGGCUUGAGUGCGGCAGAGGGGGAUGGAAUUCCGCGUGUAGCAGUGAAAUGCGUAGAUAUGCGGAGGAACACCGAUGGCGAAGGCAAUCCCCUGGGCCUGCACUGACGCUCAUGCACGAAAGCGUGGGGAGCAAACAGGAUUAGAUACCCUGGUAGUCCACGCCCUAAACCGAUGUCAACUGGUUGUUGGGAAGGUUCCUUCUCAGUAACGUAGCUAACGCGUGAAGUUGACCGCCUGGGGAGUACGGCCGCAAGGUUGAAACUCAAAUGAAUUGACGGGG
rnacentral:rRNA from 1 species